rnacentral:rRNA from 1 species
UACGUAGGGGUGCAAGCGUUGUCCGGAAUUAUUGGGCGUAAAAGGAGCUCGUAGGCGGUCUGUCGCGUCGGAUGUGAAAAACCCAGGGCUCAACCCUCGGGUGCCUGCAAUUUCGAAUACGGGCAGACUAGAGUUCGGUAGGGGAGGAACUGGAAUUCCUGGUGUAGCGGUGGAAAUGCGCAGAUAUCGAGGAGGAACACCGGUGGCGAAGGCGGUCUCUGGGCAGUAACUGACGCUGAGGAAGCGAAAGGCGUGGGGAGCGAACAGG